GGCCAGGUGGCUCAGUUGGUUGGAGUGUCAUCCCAUACACCAAAAGGUUUUGGGUUCAAUUCCCAACCAGGUCA
rfam:Myotis davidii contig198966, whole genome shotgun sequence.